CCUACGGGAGGCUGCAGUGGGGAAUAUUGGACAAUGGGCGAAAGCCUGAUCCAGCCAUGCCGCGUGUGUGAAGAAGGCCUUCGGGUUGUAAAGCACUUUCAGUGGGGAAGAAAGCCUUGGGGCUAAUACCCUCGAGGAAGGACAUCACCCACAGAAGAAGCACCGGCUAACUCCGUGCCAAGCAGCCGCGGUAAUACGGAGGGUGCGAGCGUUAAUCGGAAUUACUGGGCGUAAAGCGCGCGUAGGCGGUCUGAUAAGCCGGUUGUGAAAGCCCCGGGCUCAACCUGGGAACGGCAUCCGGAACGGUCAGGCGAGAGGGCAGGAGAGGAAGGUAGAAUUCCCGGUGUAGCGGUGAAAUGCGGAGAGAUCGGGAGGAAUACCAGUGGAGAAGGCGGCCUUCUGGACUGACACUGACGCUGAGGUGCGAAAGCGUGGGUAGCAAACAGGAUUAGAUACCCCAGUAGUC
rnacentral:rRNA from 1 species